CCUACGGGAGGCAGCAGUGAGGAAUAUUGGUCAAUGGACGAGAGUCUGAACCAGCCAAGUAGCGUGAAGGAUGACUGCCCUAUGGGUUGUAAACUUCUUUUAUAUGGGAAUAAAAUGUUCCACGUGUGGGAUUUUGUAUGUACCAUAUGAAUAAGGAUCGGCUAACUCCGUGCCAGCAGCCGCGGUAAUACGGAGGAUCCGAGCGUUAUCCGGAUUUAUUGGGUUUAAAGGGAGCGUAGGUGGAUUGUUAAGUCAGUUGUGAAAGUUUGCGGCUCAACCGUAAAAUUGCAGUUGAAACUGGCAGUCUUGAGUACAGUAGAGGUGGGCGGAAGUCGUGGUGUAGCGGUGAAAUGCUUAGAUAUCACGAAGAACUCCGAGUGCGAAGGCAGUUCACUCGACUGCAACUGACACUGAGGCUCGAAAGUGUGGGUAUCAAACAGGAUUAGAUACCCGAGUAGUC
rnacentral:rRNA from 1 species